GGGAGACGAGGCAGGACCAGCUUUAAAAGAAGGCUGUAAGCUCAGACAACAAGUAGCAAAAGAAACACUGACCACUCACAGGCUGGGGAUUCAGAACCUGCGGAUGUGGAGGGCCAGAGGGCUGAAUUUGCAAGUUGGGCAAUGGGGAAAGCCUUCACAAAGGAGAAAGCCUUUGGGCUGGAAUUGGAGGAGUAGGAGUCAAUAGAGAGAGAAGAGAGUAAAGGGCAAGGCCAUCAUUCCAGGUUUAGGGAGCAAGUACAAAGACACAGAGAAAUGAAAAGGCUUGGCCUGUUUGGAGAAUGUCAAGCUGUCUGGGGUUGAGAGAAAGACAUUCUAACAAGGCUUCCAUUAAAGAGGCUAGAUUUGCUGCUUGGACAUUUUCUAGCUCUUCUGAGACAACUUUUUGUUGAGUUAAGCGAAAAUGAAUGAAAAUCAGAUGGACCAUAUUUCUCUUGAAUGCACACGGGCUUAAAAACGAAGGGGAAAAAGAACUUGACAGAAUGUGUCUUGGCUUUUGCCAAACCCAAAGUAUUUGAAAAAUCACACAGUACACAUCUCGAACCCAAAAACAUGCCUGGAUUCUACCACCCCUAACUGCAGCUGCAGCCAUUUAAUAAAAUGAAUUGUGUACAAGAAAA
rnacentral:lncRNA from 1 species